ensembl:lncRNA
GAGACAAGUCUGUCGCUGUCUGUCAUUACGAUGAUGGAAAAGAGGAAAAAACAAGGAGAGGAGGAGGAAGAGGAGGAGAAGCGAAGAAGAGGUCAGUUGUCCAUCCUGUGUGACUCAGAGCAGAUGCUGGGGCCGUGCCUGCGGUGUAGAGGCCACUGCUGCCGCUCCCUGCAGUAGAAAAAGGGAAGCGAAAAGGGCUGACAGCUACAGCCUUCCUGUUGGGUUUAAAUUAGGGUAAGAGAAAGAGAGAACUCCUUCUCUCCCACCCUACCAUCCCAUCCAUCCAUACUAAUCACGCGGACACAACAUCUAACCACUAUCAGCAACUUCUGUUUUUAGGUUUAUUUUCAAAGAUUGUCUGAAUGCCUUGUUUUAUUCCUCACACUAAUGUCAGCAUGUUUCGGUAGAAACAGUGUUCCUGGUGAUUGCUAGAAAGCUAGACAGAGUCUAAAGUGCAUCUGAAAAUCUCAAAGGGUCCCCGGAAGCCUGCAGCCUAUCCCAGGGGACUCGGGGCACGAGGUGGGGGACGCAAUGGACAGGGUGCAAACCCAUCAAAGGGCACAAUCACACACGCAUUCACACAUCACAGACAAUUUAGAGAUGCCAAUCAGUCCACAGUGCAUGUCUUCGGACUAGGGGAGGAAACCGAAGUACCCGAGGAAACCCCGGAAGCACGAACAUAUAGCGCUAUGUGUGCGCAAGUGUGUCAGGUGACAGAAGGAAAACCUUUACUGAGAGCGGUCCUGAAUCAUGUCCGAGUCUCUUCAAGCACGAAUCCUCGCUCCUCGUCCAGGUCUACGAUAGAUAUAAACCAGGGAGGGUGAAGGCUAACAUGCUAGCAUGCUAACAUGUGCUUCUUCUGGCGUCUCUAUCUGUAUCCAGCUCUCUCGACAUCUUUUUUCAAACUACUAUCCAC